UACGAAGGGGGCUAGCGUUGCUCGGAAUCACUGGGCGUAAAGGGUGCGUAGGCGGGUCUUUAAGUCAGGGGUGAAAUCCUGGAGCUCAACUCCAGAACUGCCUUUGAUACUGAGGAUCUUGAGUUCGGGAGAGGUGAGUGGAACUGCGAGUGUAGAGGUGAAAUUCGUAGAUAUUCGCAAGAACACCAGUGGCGAAGGCGGCUCACUGGCCCGAUACUGACGCUGAGGUGCGAAGCGUCGGGAGCAACAGG
rnacentral:rRNA from 1 species